UAGCACAACUGAUUCAAACACUACAAGCAUUUAUUUCAAAUAUCCUAGGUUUGUAAAAAACCUCCAGGACCAUGAACAGUCGAGUGGAUCGAUGGAACUCCCGAACUGCUCCUACGGAACAUGGAGGACUUGAAACCAGGCGGGACUUUCAGUCAAAUUUAUG